rnacentral:rRNA from 1 species
UACGGAGGAUCCGAGCGUUAUCCGGAUUUAUUGGGUUUAAAGGGAGCGUAGGUGGAUUGUUAAGUCAGUUGUGAAAGUUUGCGGCUCAACCGUAAAAUUGCAGUUGAAACUGGCAGUCUUGAGUACAGUAGAGGUGGGCGGAAUUCGUGGUGUAGCGGUGAAAUGCUUAGAUAUCACGAAGAACUCCGAUUGCGAAGGCAGCUCACUAGACUGUUACUGACACUGAUGCUCGAAAGUGUGGGUAUCAAACAGGAUUAGAUACCCUGGUAGUCCACACAGUAAACGAUGAAUACUCGCUGUUUGCGAUAUACAGUAAGCGGCCAAGCGAAAGCAUUAAGUAUUCCACCUGGGGAGUACGCCGGCAACGGUGAA